UGGGAAGAAAGGUGAGGUCAGCUUGAGU
rnacentral:piRNA from 1 species